rnacentral:lncRNA from 10 species
UGGGAGUUUGAGACCAGCCUGGCCAACAUGGAGAAACCCCGUCUGUACUAAAAAUACAAAAAACAAACAAACAAACAAAAAAAUUUAGCCGGGCAUGGUGGUGCGUGCCUGUAAUUCCAGUUACUCAGGAGGCUGAAGCAGGAGAAUUGCUUGAACCCGGGAGGCGGAAGUUGCAGUGAGCUGAGAUUGCACCAUUGCACUCCAGCCUUGGCGGCAAGAGCAAAACUCCAUCUCAAAAAAAAAAGAAAAAGAGAAAAAAGAUAUAGAAGGAACAAAUGACUACUUGGUUACCAACUAUUUUAGUUGUAUUUUGUAUAGUACUAUAUUAUAAAUCUAUGUUCACAUCUAACACAGGCAUGAGUGGAAGGCAGGCAUACAACAUCCUCUUAAACACUUCUAUUAAUGGAGUAUUCAGCACAUCACAAAGUAGCUUUAUGGAUAGCUUGGCUUCUGAAUUUUUUUAAACUAUUAAGUAACAUUAAUAAUUUCCUUUAUUCUAUGUGCACAGAACACCGGCAAUAAAGAUUUCAUUCAUUUACUCAAAAAUAUUUACUGGUUGCCUUUUUGGGGACAGGUACUUUAUGACUUUAUGACAUAGUUACAAUGGUAAAGUAACAAAAUUUCAUUUCAUACCAUCAAGUGUUUAAAAUUAAAAUAAGUAUUUUAGAUGUAGAUAAAUAUGUUUUUCUAAAAAUCACCAAACAGGAUAUAAGUAAUUUAUUUGAUCAUGGCAUUUUAUCACAUACUAUAACAAGAUCUAUUUAUCACAUACUAUAACAAGAUCUAUUCCCAGUAUCUAGAAAGCAAGCCAACGGGCCGGGCGCAGUGGCUCACGUCUGUAAUCCGAGCACUUUGGGAGGCCGAGGUAGGUAGAUUAUGAGCACAAGAGAUCGAGACCAUCCUGGCAAACAUGGUGAAAUCCUGUCUCUACUAAAAAUAAAAAAAUUAGCUGGGGGUGGUUGGCGUGCGACUGUAGUCCCAGCUACUCGGCAGGCUGAGGCAGGAGAAUUACUUGAACCUGAGAGGGGGAGGUUGCAGUGAGCUGAGAUUGCACCACUGCACUCCAGCCUGGUGACAGAGGGAGACUCGGUCUCAAAAAAAAAAAAAAAAAAAAAAAAAGACAGCCACCGAACUGUAAACCAAUUAAAUUGGGAGUAGAACUGGAAGAGUGUGAUUUAUUACCUUGUUUAUAGCCUGAAUGUCUUAAAAAAUGGGUCCCAACUCAAACUUUACAAUUAUCCAUUUAGUGUCAUAAAAUUCUAUAAGUCAAAUAUUAAAAUUGAUCUAUAAGUCUAUUCCCUUUAAAAAAGCCUAUUCCCUGAAGCUCUUACAAAAAUGAAGUAAUAAAGGUAUAUGUUUAACAUGUAUUUAUUUAUUUAUUUGAGGGUUGUGCUUUGUCACCUAGGCUGGAGUGCAGUGGCAUGAUCAUGGCUCACUGCAACCUCUACCUCCUGGGCUCAAGCAAUCCUCCCACCUCAGCCUCCUGAGUAGUUGGGACUACAGGUGUGCGCCAGCACACCUGGCUAAUUUUUGUAUUUUUUGUAGAGAUGCAGUUUCGCCAUGUUGCCUAGGCUAGUCUCAAACACCUGGACUCACCCAAUAAGCCUGACUUGGCCUCUCCAAGUGUUGGGAUUACAGGCAUGAGCCACCACACCCAGCUGGAAAAUGUUUAAAAUUUAUUAAGUGAAAAGUAACUCAUGCUGCAAUGAACGUACUAUGUAAAAAUGUAUGUAUGUGGAACAGGGAAAAAUAUAAACAGUCACAGAAAUGUGUUUAGGUUGGUAGCAUUCUUUUUCCUCUUAAAAAUUCCUUUUUUUGGCCGGGCGCUGUGGCUCACACCUCCAAAAAUUUCUUUAAAUAUUAGUGGUAUAUUAUUCUCUCAAUAAGUUUUUUUUUUUUUUUUUUUUGAGACAGUCUUGUUUUAUUGCCUAAGCUGGAGUGCAGUGGCACAAUCUCAACUCACUGCAACCUCCACCUCCCAGGUUUAUUUUUUUUCUCAUGCCUCAGCCUCCCAAGAAGCUGGGAUUACAGGCAUGUGCCCCAAAGGCCAGUUAAGUUUUCUUUUUCUUUUUUUCUUUUUUCUUGGUUGAGACGGAUUUUCGCUCGUCACCCACACUGGAGUGCAAUGGCGCGAUCUCGGCUCACUGCAACCUCCGACUCUUGGGUUCAAGCGAUUCUCCUGCCUCAGCCUCCCGAGUAGCUGGGAUUAGAGGCACCUGUCACCACGCCCGCUACUUUUGGUAUUUUUAGUAGAGAUGGAGUUUCACCACGUUGGCCAGGCUGAUCUCAAACUCCUGGCCUCAAGUGAUUCACCUGCCUUGGCCUCCCAAAGUGCUGGAAUUACAGGCCCGGCCUAUUUUUGCAAUAAUUAUGAAUAGCACACCAUUUAAACCUGUUGAUUGAGCCCUCCUUAAAUAACUAAAUACACUACUGGCCAACAUGGUGAAAACCUGUCUCCACUAAAAACACAAAAAAAUGGCCGGGCACAGUGGCUCAUGCCUGUAAUCCCAGCACUUCAGGAGGCCAAGGGGUGUGAAUCACCUGAGGUUAGGAGUUCAAGACCAGCCUGGCCAACAUGGUGAAACCCUGUCUCUACUAAAAAAAAAUACAAAAAUUAGCUGAGUGUAGUGGCACAUACCCGUAGUCUCAGCUACUCAGGAGGCUGAGGCAGGAGAAUUGCUUGAACCUGGGAGGCAGGGGUUGCAGUGAGCCAAGAUCGUGCCACCACACUCCAGCCUGGGUGACACAGCGAGACUCCAUCUCAAAAUAAAUAAAUAAAUAAAAAGAAAGGGACCGAGCGCGGUGGCUCAUGCUUGUAAUCCCAGCACUCUGGGAGGCUGAGUUGGGCAGAUCACAAGGUCAAGAGUUCAGGACCAGCCUGACCAACACGGUAAAACCCCAUCUCUACUAAAAAUACAAAAAUGAGCUGGGUGUGAUGGCACGCGCCUGUAACCCCAGUUACUCAAAAGGCUGAGGCAAGAGAAUCGCUUGAACCUGGGAGGCAGAGGUUGCAGUGAGCCGAGAUCACGCCACUGCAUUCCAGCCUGGUGACAGUGAGACUCUGUCACACACACACAAAAAAGAUAAAGAAUGACAAAAAUCUGUGCCUACAUUCAGAGUGACAAGAAUACUAAUGUUCUGCUUGUAGAAAAGACUAUUGGUUCAGAAUAUGUUAAAUGCAAAUAAUAUUUUGUAUAAUAUAUAUAAAUUACAUAUGCAUAAAAAGAGUAUCUAUAUUAGAAUCUUUUGAGACAGGGUCUUGCUCUGUCAACCAUGAGGGAGUGCAGUGGCACUACCACAGCUCACUGUAGCCUUGACUUCCUGAGCUCAAGCCAUCCUCUCGCCUCAGCCUCCUGAAUAGUUGGGACUGCAGGUGGUGCCACCAAGGCUGGCUAAGUUUUUAUAUUUUUUUAUAGAAACAAGCUUUUGCCACGUUGCCCAGGCUGGUCUCAAACUUCUAAAAGCUCAAGCAAUCUGGCCGCCUUGAACUCCCAAAGUGCUUGAGUUAUAGGCAUGAGUCACUGUGCCCGGCCUACAUUAGAAUCUUAACAGUGGGGCUGGGCAUGGUGCCCCAUGCCUGUAAUCCCAGCACUUUGGGAGGUCAAGGUGGGCAGACUACUUGAGGUUGAGGAGUUCGAGGCCAGCCUGGCCAACAUGGUGAAACCCCAUCUGUACUAAAAACACAAAAAUUAGCCAGGUGUGGUGGCACAUGUUUGCAAUCCCAGCUACUUGGGAGGCUGAGGCGGGAGGAUCACUUGAACCUGGGAAGCAGAGGUUGCAGUGAGCCGAGAUGGUGCCAUGGCACUCCAGCCUGGGCAAUAGACAGCGGGACUCAGUCUCAAAACAAAAAAAAAAAAAAAAAAAAAAGAAUCUUAACAGUGGUUAACUUCAAAUAGUGAAACUAUGACUGUUAACUGAGUUUGACAUUUUUGUGUUUUCCUAGAUUUUUCUACAAUAAACAUUAUUAUUUCAUAAUAAAGCAGUAAAGACUUUUUAUACAAACUAUUUUAAGAUAAACAAAUUUUGACAUAGGGGUUAUAAGUUAGGUAGAAUCUAUUUAUAUAAAAAAUGGAACUGUACUUUUGUGGGCCAAAUAAGCACUAUGUAAGUUUUUUUAAUUUUCCCAAACACAUGCACAGAAUUAAUAUUGCCUUAAAUUUUGUUAGCACAAGUUUGAGAGAGCUCUUUAGUUCAUAAAAAAAUGUUUUAUGGACCAGGUGCCGUGGCUCACACCUGCAAUCUCAACACUUUGGGAGGCCCAGGUGGGAGGAUCGCUUGAGCCUAGGAGUUUGAGACAAGACUGGGCGACGCAGGGAGACCCUGUCUCAAAAAAACAAAACCAAAAACAAGCAAACAAAAAAACAGCUGGGCAUGGUGGCAUGCAUAUGUAGUCCCAGCUAUUCUAGAGGCUGAGGUGAGAUCGCUGGAGCCCAGGAGGUGGAGGCUACAGUAAGCUGUGAUCAUGCCAAUGCACUCCAGCUUGGUCAACAAAGCAAGACUGUGCCUCAAAAAAAAAAAAGAAAAGAAAAGAAAGAAAGAAAAGAAAAAGAAAAAAAGUUAUGUACGUAUGGUUUUUUUUUUUUUUUGGAUAGAGUUUCACUCUUCUUGCCCAGGCUGGAGUGCAAUGGUGCAAUCUUGGCUCACCACAACCUUCCCCUACUGGGUUCAAGCGAUUCUCCUGUUUCAGCCUCCCCAGUAGCUGGGAUUAAAGGCAUGUGCCACCACGCCCGGCUAAUUUUGUAUUUUUAGUAGAGAUGAAGUUUCUCCAUGUUGGUCAGGCUGGUCUUGAACUCCUGACUUCAGGUGAUCUGCCCGCCUCAGCCUCCCAAAGUGCUGGGAUUACAGGUGUGAGCCACCUCGCCUGGCCGUUUUUUUUUUUUUUUUUUUUUUCUGAGACGGAGUUUUGCUCUUAUUGCCCAGGCUGGAGUGCAAUGGCACGAUCUCGGCUCAUCGCAACCUCUGCCUCACGGGUUCAAGCAAUUUUCCUGCCUCAGCGUCUCAAGUAGCUAGGAUUACAGGGAUGCUCCAUCAUGCCCGGCUAAUUUUGUAUUUUUGGUAGAGACAGGGUUUCUCCAUGUUGGUCAGGCUGGUCUCAAACUCCCAACCUCAGGUGAUUUACCCGCCUUGGCCUCCCAAAGAGCUGGGAUUACAGGUGUGAGCCACUGUGCCCGGCCAUGCUUAUGUUUUUUAACAAUACACUUCUGAACUAUCAAAAAGAAUAUAAAUCAAAAUCACUGAAGUAGUUUUUAAAAACUCCAAAAGCUACAAAACUUACUUACUUCAAUAUCAAUUAAAAACCCAUUUGAUAGUUCAAUAACUUGAGUCCUGCUAGAAUCAUUCUAUAAGCCAUCAGUGACAGUGAAGUGGCCAAAAUUUGAGUCACUUGAUAAGUACAAAGAACACAGAUUUUU